ACCUUCAGCAUCACAAUGGAAAUACUUUUCCUUUAUUUUGACCUUCUUAGGAACAUCCUUCUUUGGCUUUCUCUCUUUCUUCUACUUCUUAGUGGAUUUAAUCUUUUUCUUCUUAGUAAACUUUCUCUUGGAAGAAAUCAGCUUCACAGUGAGAAUAGUGCCCCUUGAACUCUUCAAGGUUCUUUUUGUAGUGACCAACAUAUUGACCAGUUCAGGUAUAGUGCAAUCAAGUUUGUUCAUACA
rnacentral:lncRNA from 1 species